GAUGAACGCUGGCGGCGUGCCUAAUACAUGCAAGUCGAGCGAACAGACGAGGAGCUUGCUCCUCUGACGUUAGCGGCGGACGGGUGAGUAACACGUGGAUAACCUACCUAUAAGACUGGGAUAACUUCGGGAAACCGGAGCUAAUACCGGAUAAUAUAUUGAACCGCAUGGUUCAAUAGUGAAAGACGGUUUUGCUGUCCCUUAUAGAUGGAUCCGCGCCGCAUUAGCUAGUUGGUAAGGUAACGGCUUACCAAGGCAACGAUGCGUAGCCGACCUGAGAGGGUGAUCGGCCACACUGGAACUGAGACACGGUCCAGACUCCUACGGGAGGCAGCAGUAGGGAAUCUUCCGCAAUGGGCGAAAGCUUGACGGAGCAACGCCGCGUGAGUGAUGAAGGUCUUCGGAUCGUAAAACUCUGUUAUUAGGGAAGAACAAAUGUGUAAGUAACUAUGCACGUCUUGACGGUACCUAAUCAGAAAGCCACGGCUAACUACGUG
rnacentral:rRNA from 1 species